rnacentral:rRNA from 1 species
UACGAAGGGGGCUAGCGUUGCUCGGAAUCACUGGGCGUAAAGCGCACGUAGGCGGAUCGUUAAGUCAGGGGUGAAAUCCUGGAGCUCAACUCCAGAACUGCCUUUGAUACUGGCGAUCUUGAGUUCGAGAGAGGUGAGUGGAACUGCGAGUGUAGAGGUGAAAUUCGUAGAUAUUCGCAAGAACACCAGUGGCGAAGGCGGCUCACUGGCUCGAUACUGACGCUGAGGUGCGAAAGCGUGGGGAGCAAACGGG